GGAGCCACACCACGUCAGAACCGUGGCCGAAAGAAACAGCAGCACAGGCAGCCACAACUGGGAAAAAAGAAACGACACGCGGAUCCAUCCAAUAAGGGCUAAACCGCCCUCCCUCCCCCUCUUACGCAGGUGCGCACAACACAUCAUCUUCCUUUUCCGUUUCUCUUUCUCGUUUUUUUUUCUUUCUCGAUUCCCUGCAGGCUUUUACUUGACCCCCUCACGCUCUGUGUCUCUCUUUCUCGCGUCUUUGUCGGUUUUGUAGGCGAGGGAGUGUGUGCGUGUGUGUGUCGGACUUGAUUUCAGUCUCUGCACACCUCGCUCCUCCCUUUUUUCUUUCGGGUUCUUCUUCGCCCUCCGUCGAUCUUUUUGCAUGUGAGCGCAACAACGAAAAGAGUAGAAACGCUGAAGCACUCACGUACCAGCGUUAAAACAGACAAAACAAAACGAUGCGCCGGUUGCGAUGUGGGGUGGUUUUCGCGGCCAUGGGUGUUGGCGGGAUGAGCUCCACGCAGCUAACAAAGGAAUUUGACCGCCACACACACAAGCCGACCACCGCUGAGAAGUCACGUCACAAGAAGAAGCGCCUGACUGCCAUGGAGCGCGUGCAGCUCUUCUGCGACCCCGGCACGUUCCGCGAGCGUGAUGCCCUGGUUGAGCACGAGUGCCACAAUUUCGGCAUGGAGAAGAGGAGGGUGCCUGGUGACGGCUUCGUUACGGGUGCGGGCAAAGUCUUUGGCCGCCCUGUGUUUCUCUUCUCGCACGACUUUACGGUGUUCGGCGGCUCUCUCUCCGGCUCCAACGCCGCCAAAGUGGUGCGCAUCAUGGAGGAGGCCGCCAAGAUCGGCGUGCCAGUGAUCGGCUUCAACGACUCCGGCGGCGCUCGCAUCCAAGAGGGUGUGGACUCGCUGGCUGGCUAUGCUGACAUUUUCCUCCGCAACACGCUCUUCUCUGGGGUCAUUCCACAGAUCUCCGUGAUCAUGGGGCCUUGUGCCGGCGGUGCCGUCUACUCGCCCGCCAUCACCGACUUCACGUUCAUGGUGGACAACUCGUCCUAUAUGUUUGUGACGGGUCCGGAGGUGGUGAGUGCCGUGGGUGGAAAGCUAGUGACCAAGGACGAGCUUGGCGGUCCGCGUGUGCACGCGACCAAGUCGGGUGUGUCGGCGGGUACAUUCCCGAACGACAUCGUUGCGAUGGCGCAGCUCCGCCGCCUGUACUCGUAUCUGCCAUUGAGCAACCGCGACUCUGCCCCGGUUGUGCCGACGGCUGACAACCGCCACCGUGAUGUCUCCUCGCUGAACACGGUCGUGCCGGUGGAGGUGAAGGAGGCGUACGACAUGCGCGACGCUAUCUUCCCUGUGAUCGACCAAGACUCCUUCUUCGAGAUACAGCCGCAGUUUGCCAAGAACAUCAUCUGCGGUUUCGCCCGCGUUGAGGGCCGCUCCGUGUGCAUCAUUGCGAACCAGCCGAAGGUGCAGGCUGGGGUGCUCGACAUCGACUCCUCCGUCAAGGCUGCGCGCAUGGUGCGUUUUGCCGAUGCCUUCAACAUCCCGAUCAUCACCUUCGUAGACGUCCCCGGAUUCUUGCCUGGCGUGCAGCAGGAAUACGGCGGCAUCAUUCGCCACGGUGCGAAGCUGCUGUACGCCUACGCUGAGGCGACUGUCCCGAAGGUGACAAUCAUUACGCGCAAGGCGUACGGUGGCGCCUACGAUGUGAUGAGCUCGAAACACCUCCGUGGCGACAGCAACUACGCCUGGCCGCGCGCCGAGAUUGCCGUCAUGGGCGCCGCCGGCGCAUGCAAGCUUCUGUACUCGAAGGAGACGGCGGAGCAGCAGGCGCAGCGUAUCGCCGAUUACGAGAAGGCCUUCUGUACACCGCUGUCGGCCGCUCGAAAGGGAUUCGUGGAUGCGGUGAUUGACCCCAGCGAGACCCGCAUGCGCGUGUGCGAGGACCUGGAGCGCCUGUCCCGCAAGCAGCUCCGCAAUCCAUGGAAGAAGCACGGUAACAUUCCGCUGUAACACCGCUCUCUACCUCUUUUCUGUGGCCCUCUCGAGUCUCGAUGUGUCUGGCGGCUGGCGAAGACGCCGUAGCGUUUCACGAAACGCUCGAGCGGACGCUCAUGCGCGCGUGGGUGCUUUCGCUUGUGCUGUUUGCCUGUUCUGUGUGUGUGCGUGUGUGCUGAUGGGCCUUCAUGAACGGCUGGCUCGAUACCUGUCCAGAGAACGAAAGUGUGUGUGUGAGAGAGAGAGGAAUGCACAACAGGUGCACGUGCGUCCGACGGAGAUGCUCCCUUCUGCGUUUCGUCCCCCCUUUUUCUUUGUCCUCCGGUGUGCUUCGGUGUGCGGUAUUGAGUGCGAUCCGUGAAAGUGUGUGUGUGUGUGUGUCUUCACGGCAGCUGUCCUGUUUUUGGUUUCCUGUUACAUUGCUGCUCUGCUGCUCUUACUGCUUCUUUUUUUUUCUCCGUUCCCUAACUAGGACACGCAGACAAGACAGGUGCGAUUAGGUUCAGCCCCUGACUCUUUCCCGAAGACGGAGUUGAUAGCCAAGGCGCCACUAUACAAGAGAGGCUCCGUUAGAGGUGUACGACUGUCCAUUAUCUCGGACGCAGUCGGAGGAGCUCAGUUUGUGAUGUGCGCUUGUGCAUGAAUAUGUGUGUAUCUCUGUCUGUGUCCGUUUUUGACGAGAGACUGCGCUUCUUUGACUCUCGCGCCAGCACAUACGUGCACGGGAAGUGUUCUGUUUUGCUUCUGUUGCUGCACCCCACCUCCCGCUUCGCCUCAUCCGCCAAGUUGGGUUGUUAGUCUUUUCUUUUUUCUUUUCACCAUCACCCCUCCCCCUUUGCAUCUCACUCACACGCUAGCGUAAGCAUGUGAGCAGGUGGAAGCGCCAAAACACUCAACCUCCUCCACCUCAACCGCAAAACAUAAAAAAUGAGCCAAAAGCGCGAUGAAACUCUUUUACGCCAAAGUACACAAGAUGACGAGGAACACGAAACUGUCGGAGCGACACCUCUCUCUCUCUUGUAGCGUGCAUGCGAACGACUUCCGAGAACGAAAGGCAGAACAGGCGAAGAGCAGACGUACUGAAUGCAGCGGCAGAUACACGGUAAAACGAAAAGAAACGCCGUCGCGGGCAACAGUGCCCCUUUUCUCCACCUCACCCCUUCUUCUCUUUUACUCGGCCAACAUGCCUGUCUCUCUACAGCUCUGCCCCUUUGUAGGUGUUGCGUGUUCAGCUUUAUGAGGCUCGUUGCGUGUAUCUGUGUGUGUGUGCUUUCUUGUGAGUCGUGCUUUUCAUCUAUCGCGUCACCCUCCCUCUCCUCCUUCUCCUCCACAG
rnacentral:misc_RNA from 1 species